UUUCAGGAGUUUAUUCCGCGAACCAAACGAGGCCUUAGAAUAGAAUAGUUAUUACAUUGGUUUAUUUUAUUUUAUUUUUUUAAUUCCUGAGAAUAGUUCUUCCUCCCAAAAUGGAGAGGAAUAGCUAUUCAUUUUAUGCGGGAAUAGCAUAUCAAUCCUAAAUUGACUCCAAAGCCCUCUAUUGACCCAAAUCGAACGCAACGUUCCUAUUGCACAUGAUGGAUCUCGACAGUGAUCGAUUCCGCUACUUCUUGGUGUGAGCACUACAAGUUCAUGGAGCCCGCCGUGCACGCCAUGGCAUCCAAGAUCUCCGACGUCAUCUUUGCCAAGAUUAUUGUCAAUGAAUUACCUCCCAACAGCGCAGCUACAAGCUAUCCCCACUACAAUACUGCUGACCUUCUUGAGAACUAUUUCCAUUGCAGAAGCACUUCUUUCAUUUUUUGACAAUUCACUAAUCAUGUUGAGCACUGCAACUUGGUCUUUCAAACUGCAUGGUGCCUUUAGCCACUGAGUUCUCUGGCGAAAUGGAAGUGCUUAUGGAGGGCAGUAGUAAUGGAGUACUUUCUUCUUUAAGAUUGGGCUUUCUCAUCAAUCCCUUCAUCAGCAGCAUCCAAUGUAGUCUAAAUCUGAUGCUAAAAGUACGGGAUGAUUUGGAUCGCUUUAAAGACAAGCCUAUGAGAGUAUGCUAUGUGGAUGUGGAGUCCAAAUGUCAAGAAAAGGAUGGGGUCUUUGUGCUGGAUUCCAUGGAAACAGAAUCGGAGAGUUGUGUGUGGAAGUUGGCAAAUGUGAAGGAAAACAGGGACCCCGAAAGCAAAGGUACUCCUUUAAGCCGUAAACAAAGGAUUGGAGAUUAAAAGUGCCAUUUGGGAUGCAUAAAAAGGGUGUUCCUGUACCAUGAAUACUGAAAUUUUACUAAUUGAGUUGUAUUGAAGACCGCGAGAUGAGAUGAUGAUGAAGCUGCCUUUGUGUUAGUUGAUGAAAUGAUCCCACUACAAUAUGCAGAUUUUGUGCGGCAUUCCUGGAUUCCUAAUUCCUAACUUUGGUGCGACUUGCAAAAUGCAAACCCCUCUCUCUCUCUCUCUCUCUCUCUCUCUCUCUCUCUCUCUCUCGUUGUUGUUGUUGUUGGGUAGUGGGCCGAAACUUUGGUUUGGGCUCCACGGUAGAUGGCCCAGCCCAAUGUGCAAACCAUAGUCUACGUGUAGUCCUUCCGUCCCGUACUUACAAAGUAAUUAUGGAGUCACUUAUUCAUAACAA